GAAUUGUUCGCAAUGGGCGCAAGCCUGACGACGCAACGCCGCGUGGGGGAUGAAGGUCUUCGGAUUGUAAACCCCUGUCGAGCGGGACGAAUGGCCCGCGACCUAACACGUCGCGGGAGUGACGGUACCGCUAAAGGAAGCCACGGCUAACUCUGUGCCAGCAGCCGCGGUAAUACAGAGGUGGCAAGCGUUGUUCGGAAUUACUGGGCGUAAAGGGCGCGUAGGCGGCCUUCUAAGUCAGACGUGAAAUCCCCCGGCUCAACCUGGGAACUGCGUCUGAUACUGGAGGGCUUGAAUGCGGGAGAGGGAUGUGGAAUUCCAGGUGUAGCGGUGAAAUGCGUAGAUAUCUGGAGGAACACCGGUGGCGAAGGCGGCAUCCUGGACCGACAUUGACGCUGAGGCGCGAAAGCUAGGGUAGCAAACGG
rnacentral:rRNA from 1 species